rnacentral:rRNA from 1 species
CAGCAGCCGCGGUAAUACAGAGGGUGCGAGCGUUAAUCGGAUUUACUGGGCGUAAAGCGUGCGUAGGCGGCUUCUUAAGUCGGAUGUGAAAUCCCUGAGCUUAACUUAGGAAUUGCAUUCGAUACUGGGAAGCUAGAGUAUGGGAGAGGAUGGUAGAAUUCCAGGUGUAGCGGUGAAAUGCGUAGAGAUCUGGAGGAAUACCGAUGGCGAAGGCAGCCAUCUGGCCUAAUACUGACGCUGAGGUACGAAAGCAUGGGGAGCAAACAGGACUAGAUACCCCGGUAGUCCCUGUCUCUUAUAC